UCUUCCGCAAUGGACGAAAGUCUGACGGAGCAACGCCGCGUGAGUGAUGAAGGUUUUCGGAUCGUAAAGCUCUGUUGUUAGGGAAGAACAAGUACCGUUCGAAUAGGGCGGUACCUUGACGGUACCUAACCAGAAAGCCACGGCUAACUACGUGCCAGCAGCCGCGGUAAUACGUAGGUGGCAAGCGUUGUCCGGAAUUUUUUGGGCGGUAAAAGGGCUCGCAGGCGGUUUCUUAAGUCUGAUGUGAAAGCCCCCGGCUCAACCGGGGAGGGUCAUUGGAAACUGGGGAACUUGAGUGCAGAAGAGGAGAGUGGAAUUCCACGUGUAGCGGUGAAAUGCGUAGAGAUGUGGAGGAACACCAGUGGCGAAAGCGACUCUCUGGUCUGUAACUGACGCUGAGGAGCGAAAGCGUGGGGAGCGAACAGGAUUAGAUACCCUGGUAGUCCACGCCGUAAACGAUGAGUGCUAAGUGUUAGGGGGUUUCCGCCCCUUAGUGCUGCAGCUAACGCAUUAAGCACUCCGCCUGGGGAGUACGGUCGCAAGACUGAAACUCAAAGGAAUUGACGGGGGCCCGCACAAGCGGUGGAGCAUGUGGUUUAAUUCGAAGCAACGCGAAGAACCUUACCAGGUCUUGACAUCCUCUGACAAUCCUAGAGAUAGGACGUCCCCUUCGGGGGCAGAGUGACAGGUGGUGCAUGGUUGUCGUCAGCUCGUGUCGUGAGAUGUUGGGUUAAGUCCCGCAACGAGCGCAACCCUUGAUCUUAGUUGCCAGCAUUCAGUUGGGCACUCUAAGGUGACUGCCGGUGACAAACCGGAGGAAGGUGGGGAUGACGUCAAAUCAUCAUGCCCCUUAUGACCUGGGCUACACACGUGCUACAAUGGACAGAACAAAGGGCAGCGAAACCGCGAGGUUAAGCCAAUCCCACAAAUCUGUUCUCAGUUCGGAUCGCAGUCUGCAACUCGACUGCGUGAAGCUGGAAUCGCUAGUAAUCGCGGAUCAGCAU
rnacentral:rRNA from 1 species